rnacentral:rRNA from 1 species
UACGUAGGGCGCAAGCGUUGUCCGGAAUUAUUGGGCGUAAAGAGCUCGUAGGCGGCCUGUUACGUCUGCUGUGAAAUCCCGGGGCUUAACCCCGGGCGUGCAGUGGAUACGGGCAGGCUGGAGGCAGGCAGGGGAGAACGGAAUUCCCGGUGUAGCGGUGAAAUGCGCAGAUAUCAGGAGGAACACCCGUGGCGAAGGCGGCCCACUGGGCCGGACCUGACGCUGAGGCGCGAAGGCGUGGGGAGCGAACGGG